GACAGAGGUCCCGAGCGUUAGGCGGAAUCACUGGGCUUAAAGCGUGUGUAGGCGGAUCGUUAAGUACCUUGUGAAAUCCCACGGCUCAACCGUGGAACUGCUUGGUAUACUGGCGAUCUUGAGCCACUUAGGGGCAACCGGAACAAACGGUGGAGCGGUGAAAUGCGUAGAUAUCAUUUGGAACGCCAAUGGUGAAAACAGGUAGCUGGGGAUGUGCUGACGCUGAGACACGAAAGCCAGGGGAGCAAACGGG
rnacentral:rRNA from 1 species